GGGAGCCGUGAUGAGGUGAAAGUCUCACGUCCGGUUCUGAAGACGAGUUGAAUGAGGUAACUCAUUUGGCUUAGUUUAAC
rfam:Trichodesmium erythraeum IMS101, complete genome.